rnacentral:tRNA from 1 species
UCGACGAUGUCCUGGAAGGGCGAGAUGUCGGCCUGGAUCGUCGGCAGGCCGUCGUUCGGACCGACGCUGUCGAUC